rnacentral:lncRNA from 1 species
CUCAGGAAUGGCGGGCUGCAGGUUCUAAGUCCUGCCCCGAGGGGAGGCAGCUAAGGCCCUGCAAGAAAUCCAGUACAGCAGCUGCUGGCCCAGGUGCUAAGCCCCUCACUUCCUGGGGCUUGUCCGCCGGCCGGCAGCUCUGAGUGCGGGCCCGCGGAGCCCACGCCCACGAAGAACUCGCGUUGGCCCGCAAGCGCCGCGCAGCCCUGGUUCCCGCCCGCGCCUCUCCCUCCACACCUCCCCGCAAGCUGAGGGAGCCAGCUCCGGCCUUGGCCACCCCAGAAAGGGGCUCCCACGGUGCAGCGGCGGGCUGAAGGGCUCCUCAAGUGUGGCCAGAGUGGGCUCCAAGGCCGAGGAGGCGCCCAGAGCGAGCGAGGGCUGGAGGGCUGCCAGCAGGCUGUCACCUCUCAGAAUGAACUUUUAUUAAGAGACUUGGCCAUCAACCUGGCUUCCAUACUAGUUCUUCUUAAUGCCUCCUGCAUCAUUUCCAAGGGUUAUACCUGUGCUCAGCAGGAUGAGUAUGGAGAAACAGAUCUCAGUAUUGGUAUUGCUGGACCCUUCCGUACACAUUGGAAUCCUGAGAUACUGCAAAAGCAUUCAACAACCCAUGUGCUGCCAGAAAAUGCAGGAACUCUUGCUGUAAUGCUGGAGGUGGUCGGGCACAACUCACAGCCCUGCUUGGGACACAGCAGCUGGGGGUCCAUGGAGAUGUCUACCUGAGGCCAAUUGGAGCGAUGGAUGCUGCUUCAGGAACACUCCAGACACCCGCCCUCUUGCUCUUUUG